GAUGAACGCUGGCGGCGUGCCUAAUACAUGCAAGUCGAGUGAACGGACGAGAAGCUUGCUUCUCUGAUGUUAGCGGCGGACGGGUGAGUAACACGUGGAUAACCUACCUAUAAGACUGGGAUAACUUCGGGAAACCGGAGCUAAUACCGGAUAAUAUUUUGAACCGCAUGGUUCAAAAGUGAAAGACGGUCUUGCUGUCACUUAUAGAUGGAUCCGCGCUGCAUUAGCUAGUUGGUAAGGUAACGGCUUACCAAGGCAACGAUGCAUAGCCGACCUGAGAGGGUGAUCGGCCACACUGGAACUGUGACACGGUCCAGACUCCUACGGGAGGCAGCAGUAGGGAAUCUUCCGCAAUGGGCGAAAGCCUGACGGAGCAACGCCGCGUGAGUGAUGAAGGUCUUCGGAUCGUAAAACUCUGUUAUUAGGGAAGAACAUAUGUGUAAGUAACUGUGCACAUCUUGACGGUACCUAAUCAGAAAGCCACGGCUAACUACGUG
rnacentral:rRNA from 1 species